GAGUAAAAGUCGUAACAAGGACUCCGUUGGUGAACCAGCGGAGGGAUCAUUACAGAGUUGCAAAACUCCCAAACCAUUGUGAACGUUACCUAUCCCGUUGCUUCGGCGGGCGGCCCGGGCCCCGCGCCCGGCGCCCCCCGGCCCCCCGUGGGCGCCCGCCGGAGGUAAACCAAACCCUUGAAUUGCAUGGCCUCUCUGAGUCUUCUGUACUGAAUAAGUCAAAACUUUCAACAACGGAUCUCUUGGUUCUG
rnacentral:misc_RNA from 1 species